rnacentral:rRNA from 1 species
GACGAACCGUGCGAACGUUGUUCGGAAUCACUGGGCUUAAAGGGCGCGUAGGCGGUCAGCACAAGUCAAUUGUGAAAUCUCCGAGCUUAACUCGGAAAGGUCAACUGAAACUGUGCGACUAGAGUGCGGAAGGGGCAACUGGAAUUCUUGGUGUAGCGGUGAAAUGCGUAGAUAUCAAGAGGAACACCUGCGGCGAAGGCGGGUUGCUGGGCCGACACUGACGCUGAAGCGCGAAAGCCAGGGGAGCGAACGGG